rnacentral:rRNA from 1 species
UGGGUAAUCUUGUGAAACUUCAUCGUGAUGGGGAUAGAGCAUUGCAAUUAUUGCUCUUCAACGAGGAAUCCCUAGUAAGCAUGAGUCAUCAGCUCGUGCUGAUUACGUCCCUGCCCUUUGUACACACCGCCCGUCGCUACUACCGAUUGAAUGGCUUAGUGAGACCCUCGGAUCGAUAUGUUGAAACCUUCACAGGUAUCCUUUUGUUGAGAAGUUGGUCAAACUUGGUCAUUUAGAGGAAGUAAAAGUCGUAACAAGGUAGCCGUAGGUGAACCUGCGGAAGGAUCAUU